rnacentral:rRNA from 1 species
GUGAGGAAUUUUCCGCAAUGGGCGAAAGCCUGACGGAGCAAUGCCGCGUGAAGGAUGAAGGCCUAUGGGUUGUAAACUUCUUUUCUCAGAAAAGAAUUAUGACGGUAUCUGAGGAAUAAGCAUCGGCUAACUCUGUGCCAGCAGCCGCGGUAAGACAGAGGAUGCAAGCGUUAUCCGGACUGAUUGGGCGUAAAGCGUCUGUAGGUUGUUUAAAAAGUAUUCUGUCAAAGAUUAGGGCUUAACCCUAGAUAGGCAGAAUAAACUUUUAAGCUAGAGUUUGGUAGAGGCAGAGGGAAUUCCCGGUGGAGCGGUGAAAUGCGUAGAUAUCGGGAGGAACACCAAAGGCGAAGGCACUCUGCUGGGCCAAUACUAACACUGAGAGACGAAAGCGAGGGGAGCAAAUGGGAUUAGAUACCCUUGUAGUCC